UCCCACUCUUCUUGCCACUUAUUUAAUAUAUAACGAUUAAUAAUAGGUCUGAUCUCUGAGGGAGGAAUUUGACAUUUGUUUCACAGUGAAGUAACAGUGAUGUCACGGUGGAGUAACGGUGAGGUCACGGUGAUGUCACGGUGGAGUAACAGUGAGGUGAUGGUGGAGUAACAGUGAGGUCACGGUGGAGUAACAGUGAGGUCAUGGUGAGGUCACGGUGGAGUAACAGUGAGGUCACGGUGGAGUAACAGUGAGGUCACGGUGGAGUAACAGUGAGGUCAAGGUGGAGUAACAGUGAAGUCAAGGUGGAGUAACAGAGUGAGGUCAUGGUGAUGUCACGGUGGAGUAACAGUGAGGUCACGGUGGAGUAACAGUGAGGUCACGGUGAUGUCACGGUGGAGUAACAGUGAGGUGAUGGUGGAGUAACAGUGAGGUCACGGUGGAGUAACAGUGAGGUCAUGGUGAGGUCACGGUGGAGUAACGGUGAGGUCACGGUGAAGUAACGGUGAGGUCACGGUGGAGUAACAGUGAGGUCACGGUGGAGUAACAGUGAGGUGACGGUGGAGUAACAGUGAGGUCAUGGUGAGGUCACUGUGGAGUAACAGUGAGGUGACGGUGGAGUAACAG